UCCGAAGGGGGCUAGCGUUGCUCGGAAUGACUGGGCGUAAAGGGCGCGUAGGCGGAUGGCACAGUCAGAUGUGAAAUUCCCGGGCUUAACCUGGGGGCUGCAUUUGAUACGUGUUGUCUAGAGUGAGGAAGAGGGUCGUGGAAUUCCCAGUGUAGAGGUGAAAUUCGUAGAUAUUGGGAAGAACACCGGUGGCGAAGGCGGCGACCUGGUCCUUGACUGACGCUGAGGCGCGAAAGCGUGGGGAGCAAACAGG
rnacentral:rRNA from 1 species